rnacentral:rRNA from 1 species
GGUUAAGCGACUAAGCGUACACGGUGGAUGCCCUGGCAGUCAGAGGCGAUGAAGGACGUGCUAAUCUGCGAUAAGCGUCGGUGAGGUGAUAUGAACCGUUAUAACCGGCGAUUUCCGAAUGGGGAAACCCAGUGUGUUUCGACACACUAUCAUUAACUGAAUCCAUAGGUUAAUGAGGCGAACCGGGGGAACUGAAACAUCUAAGUACCCCGAGGAAAAGAAAUCAACCGAGAUUCCCCCAGUAGCGGCGAGCGAACGGGGAGGAGCCCAGAGCCUGAAUCAGUGUGUGUGUUAGUGGAAGCGUCUGGAAAGGCGCGCGAUACAGGGUGACAGCCCCGUACACAAAAAUGCACAUAUUGUGAGCUCGAUGAGUAGGGCGGGACACGUGGUAUCCUGUCUGAAUAUGGGGGGACCAUCCUCCAAGGCUAAAUACUCCUGACUGACCGAUAGUGAACCAGUACCGUGAGGGAAAGGCGAAAAGAACCCCGGCGAGGGGAGUGAAAAAGAACCUGAAACCGUGUACGUACAAGCAGUGGGAGCCUCUUUAUGGGGUGACUGCGUACCUUUUGUAUAAUGGGUCAGCGACUUAUAUUCUGUAGCAAGGUUAACCGAAUAGGGGAGCCGAAGGGAAACCGAGUCUUAACUGGGCGUUAAGUUGCAGGGUAUAGACCCGAAACCCGGUGAUCUAGCCAUGGGCAGGUUGAAGGUUGGGUAACACUAACUGGAGGACCGAACCGACUAAUGUUGAAAAAUUAGCGGAUGACUUGUGGCUGGGGGUGAAAGGCCAAUCAAACCGGGAGAUAGCUGGUUCUCCCCGAAAGCUAUUUAGGUAGCGCCUCGUGAAUUCAUCUCCGGGGGUAGAGCACUGUUUCGGCAAGGGGGUCAUCCCGACUUACCAACCCGAUGCAAACUGCGAAUACCGGAGAAUGUUAUCACGGGAGACACACGGCGGGUGCUAACGUCCGUCGUGAAGAGGGAAACAACCCAGACCGCCAGCUAAGGUCCCAAAGUCAUGGUUAAGUGGGAAACGAUGUGGGAAGGCCCAGACAGCCAGGAUGUUGGCUUAGAAGCAGCCAUCAUUUAAAGAAAGCGUAAUAGCUCACUGGUCGAGUCGGCCUGCGCGGAAGAUGUAACGGGGCUAAACCAUGCACCGAAGCUGCGGCAGCGACACUAUGUGUUGUUGGGUAGGGGAGCGUUCUGUAAGCCUGUGAAGGUGGCCUGUGAGGGUUGCUGGAGGUAUCAGAAGUGCGAAUGCUGACAUAAGUAACGAUAAAGCGGGUGAAAAGCCCGCUCGCCGGAAGACCAAGGGUUCCUGUCCAACGUUAAUCGGGGCAGGGUGAGUCGACCCCUAAGGCGAGGCCGAAAGGCGUAGUCGAUGGGAAACAGGUUAAUAUUCCUGUACUUGGUGUUACUGCGAAGGGGGGACGGAGAAGGCUAUGUUGGCCGGGCGACGGUUGUCCCGGUUUAAGCGUGUAGGCUGGUUUUCCAGGCAAAUCCGGAAAACCAAGGCUGAGGCGUGAUGACGAGGCACUACGGUGCUGAAGCGACAAAUGCCCUGCUUCCAGGAAAAGCCUCUAAGCAUCAGGUAACAUCAAAUCGUACCCCAAACCGACACAGGUGGUCAGGUAGAGAAUACCAAGGCGCUUGAGAGAACUCGGGUGAAGGAACUAGGCAAAAUGGUGCCGUAACUUCGGGAGAAGGCACGCUGAUAUGUAGGUGAAGCGACUUGCUCGUGGAGCUGAAAUCAGUCGAAGAUACCAGCUGGCUGCAACUGUUUAUUAAAAACACAGCACUGUGCAAACACGAAAGUGGACGUAUACGGUGUGACGCCUGCCCGGUGCCGGAAGGUUAAUUGAUGGGGUUAGCGGUAACGCGAAGCUCUUGAUCGAAGCCCCGGUAAACGGCGGCCGUAACUAUAACGGUCCUAAGGUAGCGAAAUUCCUUGUCGGGUAAGUUCCGACCUGCACGAAUGGCGUAAUGAUGGCCAGGCUGUCUCCACCCGAGACUCAGUGAAAUUGAACUCGCUGUGAAGAUGCAGUGUACCCGCGGCAAGACGGAAAGACCCCGUGAACCUUUACUAUAGCUUGACACUGAACAUUGAGCCUUGAUGUGUAGGAUAGGUGGGAGGCUUUGAAGUGUGGACGCCAGUCUGCAUGGAGCCGACCUUGAAAUACCACCCUUUAAUGUUUGAUGUUCUAACGUUGGCCCGUAAUCCGGGUUGCGGACAGUGUCUGGUGGGUAGUUUGACUGGGGCGGUCUCCUCCUAAAGAGUAACGGAGGAGCACGAAGGUUGGCUAAUCCUGGUCGGACAUCAGGAGGUUAGUGCAAUGGCAUAAGCCAGCUUGACUGCGAGCGUGACGGCGCGAGCAGGUGCGAAAGCAGGUCAUAGUGAUCCGGUGGUUCUGAAUGGAAGGGCCAUCGCUCAACGGAUAAAAGGUACUCCGGGGAUAACAGGCUGAUACCGCCCAAGAGUUCAUAUCGACGGCGGUGUUUGGCACCUCGAUGUCGGCUCAUCACAUCCUGGGGCUGAAGUAGGUCCCAAGGGUAUGGCUGUUCGCCAUUUAAAGUGGUACGCGAGCUGGGUUUAGAACGUCGUGAGACAGUUCGGUCCCUAUCUGCCGUGGGCGCUGGAGAACUGAGGGGGGCUGCUCCUAGUACGAGAGGACCGGAGUGGACGCAUCACUGGUGUUCGGGUUGUCAUGCCAAUGGCACUGCCCGGUAGCUAAAUGCGGA